UACGUAGGGUGCAGGCGUUAAUCGGAAUUACUGGGCGUAAAGCGUGCGCAGGCGGUCUGCUAAGAGAGAUGUGAAAUCCCCGGGCUUAACCUGGGAACUGCGUUUCUAACUGGCAGGCUUGAGUGUGGCAGAGGGGGGUGGAAUUCCACGUGUAGCAGUGAAAUGCUUAGAUAUGACAUAGAACACCAAUUGCGAAGGCAGCUCACUACACGUAUAUUGACUCUGAGGCACGAAAGCGUGGGGAUCAAACAGG
rnacentral:rRNA from 1 species